UGCAUUCUACAGUAGUUUUAUUACAUUCAAUAUCUUACACAUUUUUAUUAGUGUCAUUGCAGCUUCUUUGUGAACAAAACCUAUUCAUUCAUUAAUAAACAGAGAAAAACAUCACAUCCAUGAGAUCUUCCCAAAUAGCAGUUUCAAGUCUUUAGGAGAUAUUGGUUUUAAUACAAGGUGAAUUUAUUUAAAUAUUAGACGUAUGCAUUGAAACAUGUAUCUAAACGUAAUGUAAAUGCAAACAGUAAGUGUUUGUUUAGAUUGAAUGAAUCAUCUCUGAGAAUGGAUAAGGCACACCUGAUGGCUUUUAGGUAACCAGUAGAACAUUUAGAUUUUUUUGUUUUUGUCGAAGAAAAAUAUCAUUAGAAAUCCCAGAAAUAUCCUCACGGACCUUCAAACACAAUAAUAGUUUUUUUCUCUUACCAAAUCAAUGCAUGAAAAGCUAACAUAAUCAGGCAACCAGGCAAAUAAAAAGCAGCGAAGAACAUAAACAACAAAACAUUUAAAAAACAACAAACAACCACAACUAAAGAAUCAUUCACUCCAGUCCAGUUGCCAGGGAAACAAAGCUAACAUCAAGGCCUGAGGCUUACAUUAGAGCACCUCAUAUACACCCUGGCAUGGCUGUAUUCUGAGACCCUACAGGCACCAGGAAGACGACUGUUUCAGGCCCUCUUCCCCCCCGCGUUGGGCAGACUGGAGGCUUGUUUGUGGUAGCAGUCCGGGGGGCUAGUGUUCAUGCCUGUAGGGACGUAGUACAUGCUAUCCAGGUAGCUCUGGUCCAGAGGUGCAUGACUCUGGGGCUCCGGCUUGGACCCCUGGCUCCCGGGGCUCCCAUAGCCGACCUGAGCGCCAUUCUGGUGCAUCGUCCCUGGGACUGGAGCCUCUGGGUGGCGGGGUGGCUGGGGCUGGGGAUGAGGUGCAGGAGGAGGGGGGCCAUAGGGGAGGUACUGGGGGGCUGGGGCAUAUAUAUUGGGGUUGUGGAUGGAAGAGUAGGGGGCCGCUGAGGCAGUGGAGUAGGGAGCGGCCAAAGGAGGGUAAAGUCCUGAGUGAGACAUGGUACUCUGAGGGAUGAGCACCUCCACGUACUGGCCCGUCUCUGGAUCAAACAGCAUCUUCCUCAGUGGCUGCACAGGCACCUCAAUGUAGAAAUACUUCCCCGUGUCAGGAUCCAUGAGGACCCUGCGAGGGGUUUGCCCGUACCCCAGACCACCUGUACUGUCUGGGUAGUCAGACCCAGACAGACUCCCAUAAUCAGAUCCAUAGGAUGGCCCUAGGCUCUGUGAGCUGCACAAGUACUGAGGGUCCAUAGGGGGCAGGUUGGGAGAGUGGCUGUGGUCACUGUAGGGGCCCCCGGAGACAGAUGGCUGGCCCUGGGGGGAGCGGUGGAGAGUGGGGGCCCGGCGGGGUUCCAUGUGUUGGGGGUGCUGGAGAGGGCGGUCAGCCAGGCAGGGCUGGAGUAUGGAGGGGUGGGGUUGGUGGAGGGACUGGUACAUGCCUGGAGGGGGCUGAGUGGGGCUGGGGAGGUUGGAUGAUUUGGGAGAGCUGGGCUGGUAGCCGAUUGAUCUCAGAGAAUGGGGAUCCGCUCUGCACUGGUGUAGGCGGAGAGGAGGUUGACCAGGGGAGUGGGAGGGGGAGGGGAAGGGAGGGGUGUGGGGGGAGUGGUGGUGGUGAUGGGGUGUAAGGCCGUGGGAGGGGCAGCCAGAGGUGCAGGAGCAGGGAGGGGGACGGGAGGAGGCAGAGGAGAAGGGAGAGGAGGGGUGGUAGCGGUUCAGCUUCCUCUGGGGCAGGUCAGGUAGGUGGAGGGGGCUGAACCUCUCUCUCUCGUCAUAACUAGGGGGGUCAUCUGAUGCGUAGAAACGCAGGUCGUCUGCCCUCUGCGAGUGGUCGCUAGACAAGGAUCUGUGUAUGGGCUGCUGUGUGUGUAUGUGGUGUGUGUAUACGGGAGCCUGUGUGUUUGUGGAUACCGUGGCAGGUUGGUUUGUAUUGUUGAAGGUAACCGGCAUAGUUUGCUCCUGAGGGUAUGCUGUUUUUGUUUUUGGAUGCUGCAGGUGGUUGGUUAUAUCCACAUCAGCUGACUGGCUUGAGUGUAUGGCAGGGGAAUUGGUAGGGACUUGGGCAGGGGCAUGGGUAGGGACUUGGGCAGGAUCUGGGGCAGCAGGGGCUUGGUUCGGAGCUGGGGCUGGAGCUGGGGCUGAGACUGUGAGGGUUGUGGGUCUCUGUGUGUAGCUGGGGGCCUCUCCUUGUCCCUGGGUUGAGGCCUCUGGUUGCUUUGGCCUUUCAUUGGAUGUCUCUGUGUCUACUGUUGUUGAUGGUGGUUUGUGAGAGAAACUAGCGAUGAUUGUUGUUUUGGUAGGUGAAGGCCUGUAGCUAGACACUGCAGAAACUGAUAACUUUUUAUUGUAGUUAGACGCUGGGGUCGAAUUAUUCGAUAGAUGUCUGUGGAUAGUCGUAGCUGAAGUUGAUGGUUUCUCAUUGUUCACAGGUCUCUCCUCUUCUGUGUUCUGUUUGAAGGUUGAUGUUGGUGCUUCCACGGAUUUCUGCUGUAUUUCAUUGGACAGUGAAUUUGCAUCUGUCGGUUUGAACUUUGGUUUCAGUGCCAGUGGCGGACCGUUGGAUAUUGAGUGAACCUCUAUAGCUUGCGGUCUGGUGUUUGACGUGAUGUUCUUCUCUUGUUUAUCUUGUUUAUGUAUUUCUUUGGACAACGACCUCACCUCGAUCACUUGUGGUCUGUAUCUUCUCAUCAGUGCUGGUGAGCCUGGUAGCGAGCCUGGUAACUUAGGUGAGUAGGUUGAUUUCUUCACCGUCUCUUUUUCAGCAGUGUCUUCCUGUGUUUUCUUCUGUGAGGGUGGUGGUGAUGAUGUCGUGCGUUGCUCUAUGUCUCUGACCGUGGCUCUGACACUAACCCUCUCCUGAUUCGAAGGGGUCCUAACACUGUCUUCCGUUUGAGCAGAGUCUCUUCGAAGCCCGGGAGAAUUUGGGGCCGAAUGGGUAUGUGAGGAAGAGGCUGAUGCAUUGACGGAAGAUGAGGAAAAGGAUGAGGCUGAAGUUGAUGCAUUGACAGAGGUCGAGGAGAAGGAUGAGGUUUCUUUCACAGUGCUUGAGGAUGAUACGGAUGAGGCUGCUUUCACAUAGGAUGAAGAAGAGGACGAGUAAGUUCUCUGUCUGUGUGAGUCACUCGUACCCCCAUCUGAGGGUCCACGGGUCUGAAGAGGGAUCUCUAUUUGGUUGAUAUGUUUCCCUGGGACGCCUCCACCUCCACCCCCACCUUCACGCCCACUCCUUGUUAUGGCCUCUGACACAGCCUCAGAGACCAAAGACCCAAUAUCUGCCUGGUAGCCCUUCUCCUUCACCAGUAUGGACACAGAGUGGCUGGGGGUAGGGGUCUUGAUGGGGACAGUGGAAGGUGGAGUGCCUAGAACUGGGGAUGAAGCUGGUGCUGGAGGAGAAGCUGGGGCUGGCGAAGCUUUGGGACCAAGUGAGGGUGAGGAGGCCAGGAUUGGAGCUGGGGCUGGGAAUGCUGGAGCUGGACCUGGGGAACAGGCAGGAACUAAGGCUGAGAAUGACUUGGGCUUAUUAGAUCCAUCCUGUAGCACCAGAGAAGCACAAGACACUCUUCUGUCUUUACUGGGGAGUUUAGGGCUGCUGCCCAGCAUAGGUGGCUUGGUAUCUCUUCUCACCACUUCAGGUUUGUCACUAGCCUCUGAUAUACUUCGGUGUCUCCUGGUUACUCUCAGUGACUCUGUUUCACUGGGUUUCACCUUGGUGUUGCUUGGUUCUGUUUUGACAGUGUCCUUUACAGGGGUCUUGUGUUGGUUUGACUCUGUCUCUGUCACAGCUACUUCCUCUGUUGCGCAACUCUUAGGUGCUACAUCAGAGAGGUUCCGGGGUCCUUUGGACACCGGCUUAGGUUCGCCUCUAGACGUUUCUCUCUCUGUUUUGUUGGACAUUGUUGUUGUUUUGUUUUUGUUUUCUCUCCAGCUGAUAGCUUUGAAUUCCAUCUGCAUCGGCUUUUCCUCUUUCUGGAGAGAUAUUGGGUGAGGUGGUAGCUUGUCCUCUUUCUGAAGAGAUAUUGGGUGAGGUGGUAGCUUGUCCUCUUUCUGAAGAGAUAUUGGGUGAGGUGGUAGCUUGUCCUCUUUCUGAAGAGAUAUUGGGUGAGGUGGUAGCUUGUCCUCUUUCUGAAGAGAUAUUGGGUGAGGUGGUAGCUUUUCCUCUUUCUGAAGAGAUAUUGGGUGAGGUGGUAGCUUUUCCUCUUUCUUCUCUUCUCUCCUUACUAUUGUCUCUUCAUACCUCCCCUCUUUCCUUUCCACUCUGUCAUCUUUCUUCUCUUCCCUCCUUUCCUCCUUCCUUUCCUCUUUUCUCUCCUCCCUCCUUUCCUGUCUCGGUUCCUCUCCCCUCUCCUCACUCCUCUCCUCCUUCUCUGGUGCUGGCAUGGCCUUGAACGACAGGUUGUAUGUGUUUUUCACCAGCCUUCUCACAUCUCUCACUUUGUGCAUGGGAGCUUUGGCUUUACUGUUCCUAUUGGCAUCCAUAUUCACCAUCUGUUCAUUCAUCUUGUUCAAGGUAUUCACCCCCUUCUCUUCUUCUCUUGUUACUCUAUGUGAAGUCCCUAUUCUCCUGUCUUCCUCUCUGGUUUCUGCAUGUGAAGUCUCCACUGUCCUGUCUUCUUCUGUUGUUUCUCUCUGACAGGUCUUCCCAGGGGAGGCAGUCUCGUGGUUACCCUCAGGUUUAGUUUCUAUCUCGGGCAACAGUGAGAUGUUGAGAGAAGAGGUUUUCUUUAUCUCUGUAACAGGGCUGGGUUUCAGAGUGAUCUCUGGUGUUUUGGACAUGUAGGUGCUCUUGACACUCGGAUGUUUAUGGUUUAAAGAGUCAGAGGGGUAUUCCAGCUUUGUGUUUGUCAUUCCUGCCUGCGUGCUGCUGGCUCGGGUGGCAGUGGGAACGCUGGUGUUCCGGGCAGCUGCAUCUGCUGAGUCACCUGCCUGUUUGUAAUCCCUCUCAUCCCUCCAUUUACUGUCAUCCCUCUCAUCCCUCCAUUUACUGUCAUGUGUCUGCUUACCCCCCAUAUUGGCAUUCUUCUCUGUGGGUUUUUUACUCUCAAACGGGAACACCAGUUCAGACCUCAUCUCUGGUUUGACCGGGUCAGUUCUCCAAGAGUUUGGGUUUCUGGCAGGAGACUCAGUUCUGUCGCUGUUUCUCUGAGGACAAUUAGUAGUAGGGGGCUCAGAUCUCAUCCAAGGGCUAACAUGGUUAGGGCUUCUGUUGCUGUGAGAUUCAAUUCUCUCGUUGCUUCUCUGAGGAAAGGUAACAGGAGCAACAUGUGCGUUGGGACUCAUCUCAGGGGUUGUGCUGGUAGGUUCAGGCCUCUCGUUGCUUCUCCGAGGAAAGGUAACAGGAGCAAAAUGUGCGUUGGGACUCAUCUCAGGGGUUGUGCUGGUAGGUUCAGGCCUCUCGUUGCUUCUCCGAGGAAAGGUAACAGGAGCAACAUGUGCGUUGGGACUCAUCUCAGGGGUUGUGUUGGGAGGUUCAGGCCUCUUGUUGCUUCGCUGUAGAGAAGUGGAGUCAGUAUUAAUAGUAUGGUUCAUUCGUCUAACACUGGAUUUCACCCCAAAACUUCCAUGUUGUCUGUUUACGUCAGUGUUUGGACUGGUCUCUCUUCUCACAGCCAGGUGCUCAGAAGAAAAACUGUUUCGUGAGUUUAUGCUGGAACUCAGAUUCCGUGUCUCUGGUUUUGUGGACUCUUUAAGGGUUGACGCCUCACUAUCAGGGGGAAGAGGGGUUUUGUCCUCAGAGGGGCUGAGGUCACCUCCUUCUCCUUCCUGGUCAGUUGGUUUACCAACAUUCUGCAUCUUCUUGGAGAGGAUGUUGUUGAUCAGGCAGGUGGCCAUCUUGGUUUUGGUACAUGUCUCGUCCAGGGACAAAGACUUCUGGAGCUUGCCAUUUCUCUUGGUCUGCUCAGUCCUCUCGGUGGCAGGUUCAGGGCUGGGUUCCGGGCAGUAGGCUUCCUGCAAGGCCGGAGGAGUGCUGUGUUGUCUCUGCAACGUCUCUCUGCUGUGUCUCUUUAGAGAGGUACUGUCCAUCGGAACAAUAGAAGCCACAGGAGCCACAGGAACCAUUACAGGACUAGGAACCAUGAUGGGACUACCAUUGCUGUUCUCACCCAUCUUCAGCUCGGCCGUAUUCCUUCUCUUCAGCUGGAUCUGUCUCUUGGGCACUCCUCUCCUCACCUUCUUGGGCUCCUCUCUCUCCACAGCCACGUCCACACACUCAAAGCUGCCCAUCUCACAUUUUUUGGAUGAGUCCAGGUCGUCAUGGGGUGGAUAAUAAGCCCCAGAGGAGGGCUGCUGCUGCUGCUGGCGUGGGACUGGGAAGUCUUCAUUGUCCAGCUGUGGAACAGACCCUCUGAGGUCAGCAUAGGCCAGCCAGGCUGCAUUAGCCCCCGCUGGGCUGUCCUGGGUGGAGGGCUGGGAGGCUCCAGUGGAGGAGCGGUGGCUGGAGUUGUACAUGUCCAGGUAGUCCACCUGAGGGGAUCCAGAGGACAGGCUGCGGAAGGCCACGUCACUGAACCACUUCACCUCGUUGUCCUCCUCAUCCAGCUUGCUGCCCAUGCUGGAGCUGGAGCCGUUAACUGAGACGCAUCCAGGAACGGAGCUCCCGAGCUGGGGUAUCGCAGGCUUGUAUUUGGGCUGGUACUUCUUGGUGGGUCCCGGUCCACCUCCUCUGGCUGUCUCUGGCUGGGAGCUUUGUGCAGCUCUGUGCAGUAUACAGUGUUGUUGCUGUUGUAGCUGUUGUAUCUGUUGUAGUCUGGUGGUGAGCAGGCUCUCUGAAUAGGAGCAAGCGGCUGGCAUUCCCUGUCGACUCUCUCUGCUUGUGGGAGCUGCGUUGCGGCUUGCAGGCCCUUUUCUAUUCCUGACACUGAAUGACAGGUCAACCUGUUCCCCCUUGUAACUGGCCUCCUCCUGCCUUCCCUCCCCCUUUCCAGGCACCUGCUCCUCCCCCUGUCUCUCCCUCUCCGCUUGCCACUCCCUCUCCAUUGCCCUCUCCUUUUCUUCCUCCCUGUGUCUCUGCCUUUCCUCUCUCUCCCUCUCUCUUUCCCUCUCCUCCUCCCUUUGCCACUCCCUCUCUCUUUCACCCUCCUCCUCCCUCUGCCUCUCCAUCUUUCUUUCCCUCUCCUCCUUCUCCCUUAUCUCCAUCUCUCUGUUCCUUUUUCUUUCCCUCUGCGUCUCUCUAUCCCUCUGUUGCAUCUCCCACAACAUCUCCCUCUC
ensembl:lncRNA